rnacentral:rRNA from 1 species
CCUACGGGUGGCAGCAGUGGGGAAUAUUGGACAAUGGGCGCAAGCCUGAUCCAGCCAUACCGCGUGUGUGAAGAAGGCUUUCGGGUUGUAAAGCACUUUAAGUAAGGAGGAAAAGGUUAUAGAUAAUACCUGUAACCCGUGACGUUACUUACAGAAUAAGGACCGGCUAAUUCCGUGCCAGCAGCCGCGGUAAUACGGAAGGUCCAAGCGUUAAUCGGAAUUACUGGGCGUAAAGGGCGCGUAGGUGGUUUAUUAAGUUGGAUGUGAAAGCCCUGGGCUCAACCUAGGAACUGCAUCCAAAACUAGUUCACUAGAGUACGAAAGAGGGAAGUAGAAUUCACAGUGUAGCGGUGGAAUGCGUAGAUAUUGUGAAGAAUACCAAUGGCGAAGGCAGCUUCCUGGUUCUGUACUGACACUGAGGUGCGAAAGCGUGGGUAGCG